GUGCUUGCUCAGGCAAAACAGUUCAUAACACUGGAACAAUACAGGGAGAUUAGCAUGGCCCCUACACAAGGAUGACAUGCAAGUUCAUGCAGUGCUCUGCACAUCA
ensembl:snRNA Gm25558 predicted gene, 25558